AACGAACGCUGGCGGCGUGCUUAACACAUGCAAGUCGAACGAUGAACCCGGAGCUUGCUCCGGUGGAUUAGUGGCGAACGGGUGAGAAACACGUGAGCAAUCUGCCCUUGACUCUGGGAUAACUGCGGGAAACUGUAGCUAAUACCGGAUACUUUCACUGGAAGGCAUCUUCUGGUGAAGAAAGAAUUUCGGUCAAGGAUGAGCUCGCGGCCUAUCAGCUUGUUGGUGAGGUAACGGCUCACCAAGGCGACGACGGGUAGCCGGCCUGAGAGGGUGACCGGCCACACUGGGACUGAGACACGGCCCAGACUCCUACGGGAGGCAGCAGUGGGGAAUAUUGCACAAUGGGCGCAAGCCUGAUGCAGCAACGCCGCGUGAGGGAUGAAGGCCUUCGGGUUGUAAACCUCUUUUAGCAGGGAAGAAGCGAAAGUGACGGUACCUGCAGAAAAAGCACCGGCUAACUACGUGCCAGCCGCCGCAGUAA
rnacentral:rRNA from 1 species